CAUUGUAUAACGACGAAGGAAUCAGUUCAUCAUAAGCGGUGAACAAGAAAAUAAAAAGUAGAAAUAAAAUAAAAUUGUCUGUCGUUAUUUAUCAUUUAUAAAGUAUUUUCGAAGCCCACCUCAAACUUUACUCUCCUCUAACCUAAAAUCCUCGGUUGAACUCCCCUCCAAUCGUGAUUCUCAAAUACCCUUCCUCUGAUUUUUUUUUCUACUUCCAGUAAUGAUUUUACUUAAUAAUGUAAUAUAGGGCUUUAUUUAUCCCGUUGGUGUAAUUGAUCGAUGAAUUUGGGUUCAGAUCUAGCUGUUAAUUUCAUCGACCGCAACAAUUCUGAUUUAAUAGGUUCACAUGCUCGAGCUCUGCCGGUGCGAUUAUGUUUGGGGACAAACUCAUGCGUCUGAAUGUUCCCUCGUUGCUGAAGAGUUGAAGCGAACAUAAUUAUGUUUUCAAUGUGCUCACGGAUGGCCAACAAUCGUGCCUCUAGUGAAUCUGAAGGCAUUACAAAGGGGGUCCUGCAGCUUGGAUCCUGGCAUGAAUGCUAUGCCAUGGACUCUGCAGGAAGGAAUAACUUUUGAUCGUGCCAAACGUAGACUAAAUAUGGUAAGAGGGUGUGAAUGAAAAAUUGGGCUUGAUAUGGUGGUAAAUGUAUAUAAGGUUCGUUUUCUUUACACAAUUUUGUUUUCUCUUGUAGUUUUUCAGCAUUUCCAUUUUUCUUUUCUUUUGUAUAUCGUAAAAAAUAAAUUGUAUCUUCAUUUCUGGUUAUCUUGUAGUAUCUAAGUAUACAAGCAAUAGUAGCUGAGUAUAUCCUUCAUCCGUUGUUUCGAACCUGGCAGAUUUAUAAUAUUGUUACAUAAACUGACAUAUUUGGGGAGUGGGGAGGGUAUGAGUGACAGAUUUAUAAUACUGCAACACAAACUGACAUAUUUCAUCCAUAACCUGAUCCUACACAAACUGAUGUUGCACUCUUACUCUCUAUUUUUUGCUCUUCUCCUACUAAAUUCCAUGGUUAUAUGUGUUGUAGGAGGAAAAUUCAGAAAAUAAUGGUAGAAGAACUAACACUAGCUUUUCCACGUACAGAAAAGCUGCUUAAGUCGAAGUCUCGUGAUGGGGUUUUGGGUUUUGGAGAAGGAAUAACAUUUAAAGAAAUAUCAGGACCAUAACCAAGAAAAGAGGUACUUCAAUCUAAGUUUGAAUGAAGCAAACUAACAAAAUCUGGUUCUUACAAAUUGUGUGGGUACAGUACAAGAAGAAAACAAUGCACUUAAGAGCUACAUGAGUUCAGUUGAAGAUGUUCUUAAAUCAUUUAAAGAAGUGUUACUACAACGACUUAAGGCUCCAAGAGAGGACACUUCAACUAUUUAGAUUUUAUUUUUUUCUUUUUGUUUGAACAUGAGUUAUUUUUUUAUUAGAAUUUAAAGACAACAAGAUGUGAUUGUUGGGUUAACAUAACUUGAAGUUCUAUUUACAAUUUUUUUUUUUGAGUAACGAAAUUUUCAUAUGUUUUAUUUGAUUUA